GAUGAACGCUAGCUAUAGGCUUAACACAUGCAAGUCGAGGGACCGGCGCACGUGUGAGUAACGCGUAUCCAACCUACCCAUAACUAAGUGAUAACCCAGCGAAAGUUGGACUAAUACCUUAUGGUUAUGGAUGGGGGUGCGUCUGAUUAGCUUGUUGGCGGGGUAACGGCCCACCAAGGCAACGUUCAGUAGGGGUUCUGAGAGGAAGGUCCCCCACAUUGGAACUGAGACCCGGUCCAAACUCCUACGGGAGGCAGCAGUGAGGAAUACUGGUGAAUGGAGGCAAGUCUGAACCAGCCAAGUAGCGUGAAGGAGCACGGCCUAGGGGUUGUAAACUGCUUUUAUAUGGGGAUAGGUACCAUAUGAAUAAGGACCGGCUAAUUCCGUGCCAGCCGCCGCGGUAAUAC
rnacentral:rRNA from 1 species